rnacentral:rRNA from 1 species
GUCUACGGCCAUACCACGUUGAACACACCGGUUCUCGUCCGAUCACCGAAGUUAAGCAACGUCGGGCCCGGUUAGCACUUGGAUGGGUGACCGCCUGGGAACACCGGGUGCUGUAGGCA